GACGAACCGUCCAAACGUUGUUCGGAAUCACUGGGCUUAAAGGGCGCGUAGGCGGCCUUGAAAGUCGGGGGUGAAAUCCCACGGCCUAACCGUGGAAGUGCCUCCGAUACUGCAGGGCUCGAGGGAGGUAGGGGCAGCUGGAACUUCCGGUGGAGCGGUGAAAUGCGUUGAUAUCGGAAGGAACGCCGGUGGCGAAAGCGAGCUGCUGGACCUCUGCUGACGCUGAGGCGCGAAAGCCAGGGGAGCAAACGGGGAUUAGAAACCC
rnacentral:rRNA from 1 species